UGCACAGAAAGACCCACAGAUCCAUGUGAAGCUGCGCAGCUGGACCAGGACCACUACUACCGCCCCGCAGGCUCCCUCCUCACACCUCCACCCCCUCCACUGGAGCCCCUGCGAUUGCCCGGAUUGUCCACCCUGGCAGGUGGCAACCACCUGCUGCCUUGGGGUGAUGGCCUCCCACACCUUCACACCUGGGGUGUCACAUCUGCAUGUCACAGGGCCUGCAUUGGUGGCCAGGCAGGUCUAGGCUACUCCUUUUCUUGGUUAAGGGCACCAGCUUCACCCAGAUGCCCCAGGGGGAAAUCACAGGGUCAUCCUAAAUUCUUCCCACCACCCAUGGGCUUCCAGGAGGUCAGAGGCCAUCACAGCCCCUAAUCCACCAGCCCAGGCCUGCAGGAAAGGGAAUCACCCUUAUUUUCCUGUUGCCAAAAGUCAUGUUUUGCUCCCAUUCUGCCAGGGUGGUGGUGGAAACAUCAUCUCGGGCACUUGGGGGUCCCCAACGCUUUACCUGGAGCAGUCUGAAUACCAGGAGAUGGGGUAGGGAUCUCAGGCCUUUAAAGGGGAAGACCUCUGCUCUCCCACCCAUACUGCCCUGUCCACAAAGACACAUUGCAGGGUGGCCGGCUGCCCCGCACGCACCCCAGCAGGGCUGACGCUGACCCAGCUUCUUCCUGACGGCUUGAAGCGAAAGGAAGAGGAUGUGCUCAGGUGGUCAGACUAGGAGCUCUUUCCUGCCUCUUCAUCCCCUGCCCUCGGCGUGCCUCCUGGCCCAUCCCCACCUCAGCCUCCUCCUGGCAGGGAGCCCCCUGGACCACGUCUUGCAAGACAAGGAGCUCUCCGGGUUCAGGGCCUGGCGGUCAGCUCAGUGCACCAAGUCCACCAGAAACUUGGUUCCUCCACCUCUCUCAGCUGUGGCUGGACGAGCCCCAUCCUCACACUACCACUGUGGCAGCUCCCACUAGCCUGUCCCCUGCAGACCCUUCCAGGCCACUCAGGGAAGGACCCACCCCAGCACAGCCAGCAGAAGGGCUUCACGUGCCCCAGCCCCGAGGUCCUCACCUCAGCCCUGGAACCUGAAUCACCAAAUCUUGCAAAGGGCAAGGAGACAGAUACCCGCUGGGGUGAGGAAAGGAGGGUUCUCACCCGCCCGCCCAGCGCUGACGUGGGCCCUGCCACCUGACCAGCGUGGGGCCGUGAGGCGGGGCCGGGGGCUUUACCUGGAAGAGCCGUCGAAUCUCCCCACCCAUCUAGGCAUCCUGCCCUCUGUUCCUCCCCGCACCUGCUCAGGACGUCCUUCGAUUGACUGCCCCCCCCCCCGCGCCCCAAGCGCCGAGCACCGAGCACGGGCUCCGCUAGGAGGAUGAGCUGCUGCGGAUGCCGGGGACCCCGAGCGCCCCAUGAGAACCGGCCGGAGGAGACAGCGAGUGAAUGGACCAACCCAGCGCAUCUGCUUACAAGAGUUGAUUAUGCUGGCGAAAUGACACACUUCACCACGUUUGUAACCAGGACACUGAACGAGGGGGUCCUGGAACAGACCUGAAGCUGCUUUUUCCUACCUUGGCCGGGUCUUUUUUUUUCUUUUUUGCGGUACGCGGGCCUCUCACUGUUGCGGCCUCUCCCGUUGCGGAGCACAGGCUCCGGACGCGCAGGCUCAGCGGC